GAUUACCCGCUGAACUUAAGCAUAUCAAUAAGCGGAGGAAAAGAAACUAACAAGGAUUCCCCUAGUAGCGGCGAGCGAAGCGGGAAGAGCUCAAAUUUAUAAUCUGGCACCUUCGGUGUCCGAGUUGUAAUCUCUAGAAGUGUUUUCCGCGUUGGACCGCACACAAGUCUGUUGGAAUACAGCGGCACAGUGGUGAUACCCCCGUACACGGUGCGGACGCCCAGCGCUUUGUGAUACACUUUCAAUGAGUCGAGUUGUUUGGGAAUGCAGCUCAAAUUGGGUGGUAAAUUCCAUCUAAAGCUAAAUAUUGGCGAGAGACCGAUAGCGAACAAGUACCGUGAGGGAAAGAUGAAAAGCACUUUGGAAAGAGAGUUAACAGUACGUGAAAUUGUUGGAAGGGAAACGCUUGAAGUCAGACUUGCUGUUCGGAGUUCAGCCGCAAGGUGUACUCUCCGAGUUGCAGGCCAGCAUCAGUUUUUCGGGGUGGAAAAUCACGGUUUGAAGGUAGCAGUUUCGGCUGUGUUAUAGCUUUCCGUUGGAUACAUCCUGGGGGACUGAGGAACGCAGUGUGCUUUUAGCAGGGGUUUCGACCUCUUCACACUUAGGAUGCUGGUGGAAUGGCUUUAAACGACCCGUCUUGUAACACGGACCAAGGAGUCUAGCAUAUCUGCAAGUGUUUGGGUGUUAAAAACCCGAGCGCGU
rnacentral:rRNA from 1 species